rnacentral:tRNA from 1 species
GCCCGGGUGGCGAAAUUGGUAGACGCAGCGGACUUAAAAUCCGCCGGUUUAGCGACCGUGCCGGUUCGAGUCCGGCCCCGGGCACCA